ACACAACAGUCCAUGUGUGUACUGAAGCACCACAGGGGGAUCCACAUUCUCAGGGCCAAGUGGCACAUAUUAUCAUAUUCUGAACACCUGCACAAUUCACUGUGAGUGAGAUCUCAUUUUGGCAGAUGUCGCCUGUCUUCAUUAGAGAAGCUGAGAUGUGAGAGUACCAUGACCAUGACCAGGGCCGUGCGCAGAGUUUGGUACCUGAGUCUCACCUGACCGCUGAGAGCCAGCUGGGCUUACAGAGCAUUCAGACAGCACCCACAGGUCUUCAGACAUGAAGAGCAGACUUUCCCUAGGAAGAAAAUAGGGAGAAGGAGAAAAAUACAGGGACAGAUGCAUCCCAGGGGAAAGGCAGGACAAAGAUAUCUUUAAGCCCAUCUUUGCACCAUCCAGAUUCUGGGCCAGACAGGAUCAAUUUACAUGCCUUGCCAGAGGCUGCUUUGAUUAACGGCAGCCUUAUUUACAUUGCCAAAAUCUCUGUACUGAUCAAACUAUUGAGAUUCCCAUUCCUGUCUUUGACACUCCCACUCUGACUCCUGUCCCCCGGCGUGUCCCCUACACCAGGAGCUAUGAGGACCCACAUUGCUCUCA